AGAGUUUGAUCCUGGCUCAGGAUGAACGCUGGCGGCGUGCUUAACACAUGCAAGUCGAACGAACCUUCGGGUUAGUGGCGGACGGGUGAGUAACGCGUGGGAAUCUGCCCUCAGGAGGGGGAUAACGGUUGGAAACGACCGCUAAUACCCCAUAUGCCGAGAGGUGAAAUGAAUUUCGCCUGAGGAUGAGCCCGCGUCUGAUUAGCUUGUUGGUGAGGUAAUGGCUCACCAAGGCUUCGAUCAGUAGCUGGUCUGAGAGGAUGAUCAGCCACACUGGGACUGAGACACGGCCCAGACUCCUACGGGAGGCAGCAGUGGGGAAUUUUCCGCAAUGGGCGAAAGCCUGACGGAGCAACGCCGCGUGAGGGAUGAAGGCCUCUGGGCUGUAAACCUCUUUUCUCAAGGAAGAAGAUAUGACGGUACUUGAGGAAUAAGCCACGGCUAAUUCCGUGCCAGCAGCCGCGGUAAUACGGGAGUGGCAAGCGUUAUCCGGAAUUAUUGGGCGUAAAGCGUCCGCAGGCGGCCUUUCAAGUCUGCUGUUAAAACGUGGAGCUCAACUCCAUCAUGGCAGUGGAAACUGAUUGGCUUGAGUAUGGUAGGGGCAGAGGGAAUUCCCGGUGUAGCGGUGAAAUGCGUAGAUAUCGGGAAGAACACCAGUGGCGAAGGCGCUCUGCUGGGCCAUUACUGACGCUCAUGGACGAAAGCCAGGGGAGCGAAAGGGAUUAGAUACCCCUGUAGUCCUGGCCGUAAACGAUGAACACUAGGUGUCGGGGGAAUCGACCCCUUCGGUGUCGUAGCUAACGCGUUAAGUGUUCCGCCUGGGGAGUACGCACGCAAGUGUGAAACUCAAAGGAAUUGACGGGGGCCCGCACAAGCGGUGGAGUAUGUGGUUUAAUUCGAUGCAACGCGAAGAACCUUACCAGGAUUUGACAUCCUGCGAACCUUUAAGAAAUUAGAGGGUGCCUUCGGGAACGCAGUGACAGGUGGUGCAUGGCUGUCGUCAGCUCGUGUCGUGAGAUGUUGGGUUAAGUCCCGCAACGAGCGCAACCCACGUUUUUAGUUGCCAGCAUUUAGUUGGGCACUCUAGAAAGACCGCCGGUGAUAAACCGGAGGAAGGUGUGGAUGACGUCAAGUCAUCAUGCCCCUUACAUCCUGGGCUACACACGUACUACAAUGCUACGGACAAAGGGCAGCAAACUCGCGAGAGCUAGCAAAUCCCAUAAACCGUGGCUCAGUUCAGAUCGUAGGCUGCAACUCGCCUACGUGAAGUAGGAAUCGCUAGUAAUCGCAGGUCAGCAUACUGCGGUGAAUACGUUCCCGGGCCUUGUACACACCGCCCGUCACACCAUGGAAGUUGGCCAUGCCCGAAGUCGUUACUUUAACCCUUGUGGAGAAGGACGCCGAAGGUGGGGCUGAUGACUGGGGUGAAGUCGUAACAAGGUAGCCGUACCGGAAGGUGCGGCUG
rnacentral:rRNA from 2 species